rnacentral:rRNA from 1 species
GACGUAGGGUCCGAGCGUUGUCCGGAGUUACUGGGCGUAAAGGGCGCGUAGGCGGCUCUGUGCGUCACCCGUGAAAGCCCCCGGCUCAACUGGGGAGGGUCACGCGAUACUGCUCGACUCGAAGGCAGGAGAGGGAAGUGGAAUUCCGAGUGUAGAGGUGAAAUUCGUAGAUAUUCGGAAGAACACCAGUGGCGAAGGCGACUUACUGGACGAUUGUUGACGCUGAGGUGCGAAAGCGUGGGGAGCAAACAGG